rnacentral:rRNA from 1 species
UACGUAGGGGGCAAGCGUUGUCCGGAUUCAUUGGGCGUAAAGAGCGUGUAGGCGGCCAGGUAGGUCGGUUGUGAAAACUGGAGGCUCAACCUUCAGAGGUCGACCGAAACCAUCUGGCUAGAGUCCGGGAGAGGAGAGGUGGAAUUCCUGGUGUAGCGGUGAAAUGCGCAGAUAUCAGGAAGAACACCCGUGGCGAAAGCGGCUCUCUGGAACGGUACUGACGCUGAGACGCGAAAGCGUGGGGAGCAAACAGG